AUUGAACGCUGGCGGCAGGCCUAACACAUGCAAGUCGAGCGGAUGAAGGGAGCUUGCCCCUGGAUUCAGCGGCGGACGGGUGAGUAAUUCCUAGGAAUCUGCCUGGUCUUGGGGGAUAACGUCCGGAAACGGGCGCUAAUACCGCACCCGUCCUGAGGUAGAAACUGAGGGAUCUUCGGACCUCACGCCAUCAGCUGAGCCUAGGUCGGAUUAGCUAGUUGGUGGGGUAAAGGCCUACCAAGGCGACGAUCCGUAACUGGUCUGAGAGGAUGAUCAGUCACACUGGAAUUGAGACACGGUCCAGACUCCUACGGGAGGCAGCAGUGGGGAAUAUUGGACAAUGGGCGAAAGCCUGAUCCAGCCAUGCCGCGUGUGUGAAGAAGGUCUUCGGAUUUUAAAGCACUUUAAGUUGGGAGGAAGGGCAGUAAGUUAAUACCUUGCUGUUUUGACGUUACCAACAGAAUAAGCACCGGCUAACUUCGUG
rnacentral:rRNA from 1 species